rnacentral:lncRNA from 1 species
CUUCUCGCAGGCGGCGCGCUUGCUGGGUCACAGUGAGGCGGCUCCGCGCAGGCGCAGCCGGGCGGGCGAGGAGCGGGGAAGCUGACUCAGGGCUGCGGCCGGGGUCCUGCGGGGUAGGAGCGCGAGGCCGGCCUGAGGGAGGAGGCCUAGCGACCCAUCCGGCGCCUCCCGCCCCGGGCACCCGCCCGCGGCCGCGCAUCCUGCGGGCCCCAGGAGGCCUCCAUCUCAAAACAACGUGUUUUUAGGCUCUGCCCAGGCCCGGACUCCCACCUUUCAAGAUGUCUGGAUCAGUGCAGGACCUCCUCCUUGGCCACAUCGCUCUCCUUGGACUGGCACAUGACAGCCUUCUUGCAAUCAAGAAACUACGUGUGGCCAGGAUCUCAUCCACUAUCACAGUUUCAGCUUUCCCCAAACUGGAAUGUGUCUUUGCAGACGCCCAUCCUUAUUAAAGGGCAAAGACUUCUCAUACACCUAGGAUGGAUCUUAUAUUCUUGGCGGGACUGCAGAGAAGGUGCCGUGUCCUGAGUCCUCAUGUCAGGGCACAGGCUUCCAGCCAGUUCUACCUGGGUUAUGUUUAUCUCAAUUCCCUGGUGGUAUUGGUGUCUGCUGGGUUUUGCCAGAAUGAAGACACCGUGUUUUCAUUUGUCAGUUGAUUCGUAUUUUCCAGGAAGACAUUCUGAGAUUACAGCAUUGUCUUAGUCAAGGUGCUGCAGAAGGACAGAACUAAUAGGAUAUAUGUACAUAUGAAAGAAAGUUUAUGAAGAACUGGCUCACACCAUCACAAGGCAAAGUCCCAUGACAGGCCAUCUGCAAGCUGAGGAGCGAGGAAGCCAGCAGUGGCUCAGCCGGAGUCCAACAGCCUCAAACGGAAUCCAACAGUUCAGGCUUCAGUCUGUGGCCAAAUGCCCAGAGACCCCGGAAAGCUACUGGUGUUAGUCCCAGAGCCGGAAGGCCAAAGAACCUGGAGUGUGAUGUCCAAGGGCAGGAGGAAUGGACAGAAGCAUCCAGCAUGGGGUAAAGACGAAAGCCAGAAGACUCAGCAAGCUAGCUUACCUACUUUCUUCUGCCUGCCUUGUUCUAGCCGCGCUGGCAGCCGGUUGGAGGGUGCCCACCCCCACUGAGGGUGGAUCUUCCUCUCCUAGUCCACUGACUCAAAUUUCAGUCUCUCUGGGAGCACCAUCACACCAGAAACAAUACCAGCCAUCUAGCCACCCUUCAGUUCACCAUCACAACCAUUGUCUUAUUCAUGAAACUUCUGCAGACCCACCUUAACCUCCAUCGGUGACUUCUACCUGAAGCCCUCUGAUUGUUGCCCAGUGGUGCUUUUUAAAAUAAUUUCCAUAGUUUCUUCUACACCUUUAGUUGGCAUUCUACUGUAAAGGAGAGAUUUUAUUUUCUUACUCAUUUAUUUGUUAGUUUAUAGUCACCACCAUAUGGAUGCAGAGUUCUGUCUCAUUCACUGGGAAGUAUUCUAUUGCAGUCAUGAUUUAUUUUGAUGUUCACAUCCCAGAGUUGGUGAGUGAGCGCCCCUUCACGCUGGCUCCCGAGUGCUGACGUGUCCCCGUCCUUCUCUGCACUUUUCCUUACCUCCUGGCCUCAGAUAUUCCAGGGUCAUUUGUUCUCUCCCUGCUCCAACCCUGCAGUCAGCCAUCUCCCUAGGGACGUUGGUUCCUUUAUGGAAGGUGGCAUUUAGAAGCCAGGAUUUGGGCUGAGCACUGUGGCUCAUGCUUGUAAUCCCAGCACUUGGGGAGGCCGAAGUGGGCGGAUCGCUGGAGGCCAAGAGUCUGAGACCAGCCUGGCUAACAUGGUGAAACCCUUCCCCGUCUCUACUACAAAUAAAAAAUUAGCUGGGUGUGUUGGCACGUGCCUGUAAUCCCAGUUACUCAGGAGGCUGAAGCACCAGAAUCUCUUGAACCCAGGAGGCCGAGGUUGCAGUGAGCCAAGAUUGCACCACUGCACUACAGCUUGGGUGACAGCGCGAGACACCGUCUCAAAAAGGAUAAUAAUUUAAAAAACAGCAGGAUUUGGGUGAGCAGUGCGCUCAUUGCUUCUGGGCUCUCUCGGUGGACAUAGGCUAGGAAUGUAAGAUGUAUGUGCCUGUGUAUAUACACACGUCUGUAGCUAUGUCUAUGUUGCAUACAUGUGUUUUUCCAAAAACCAAAUCCAUAACCAUGCCUUCAGUUUCAGCCCAACACCUCCGGGCUCUUUCUAGCUUUCUACCUUUCAUGAUUGUGAAUACCUUCUCCAGCAGUGAGAAACCUGGCUCCUUUGUCCUCAGUGGAUUUUCUUAUUUGCUCAAUUUUUUUGUUUUUUGUUUUGUUUUUGUUUUUGAGACAGAGUCUUGUUCUGUCACCCAAGCUGGAGUGCAGUGGCAUAAUCUCGGCUUACCGCAACCUCUGCCUCCUGG